rnacentral:rRNA from 1 species
GACGUAGGGCGCGAGCGUUGUCCGGAUUUAUUGGGCGUAAAGAGCUCGUAGGCGGUCUGUUGCGUCGGCUGUGAAAACCCGGGGCUCAACCCUGGGCCUGCAGCCGAUACGGGCAGACUGGAGUUCGGCAGGGGAGACUGGAAUUCCUGGUGUAGCGGUGAAAUGCGCAGAUAUCAGGAGGAACACCGGUGGCGAAGGCGGGUCUCUGGGCCGAUACUGACGCUGAGGAGCGAAAGCGUGGGGAGCGAACAGG